AGUGAACGCUGGCGGUAGGCCUAACACAUGCAAGUCGAACGGCAGCACAGUAAGAGCUUGCUCUUACGGGUGGCGAGUGGCGGACGGGUGAGGAAUACAUCGGAAUCUACUUUUUCGUGGGGGAUAACGUAGGGAAACUUACGCUAAUACCGCAUACGACCUACGGGUGAAAGCAGGGGAUCUUCGGACCUUGCGCGAUUGAAUGAGCCGAUGUCGGAUUAGCUAGUUGGCGGGGUAAAGGCCCACCAAGGCGACGAUCCGUAGCUGGUCUGAGAGGAUGAUCAGCCACACUGGAACUGAGAAACGGUCCAGACUCCUACGGGAGGCAGCAGUGGGGAAUAUUGGACAAUGGGCGCAAGCCUGAUCCAGCCAUACCGCGUGGGUGAAGAAGGCCUUCGGGUUGUAAAGCCCUUUUGUUGGGAAAGAAAAGCAGCAGGUUAAUACCCCGCUGUUCUGACGGUACCCAAAGAAGAAGCACCGGCUAACUUCGU
rnacentral:rRNA from 1 species